CUUUUUCAUAUAUAGUGCGAGCAAGAUAAGUCUGCGCGCGGCCAAAAUCGGAACUAAUCGUGUGUCGCUAUUUUUGUGCUCCGUGUUUUUAUUAAUUUUCUAAGUAAAUAACAGCUGGCAUUAUACCGAAAGUGAUUAAAAGUGCUGGCAGGGAUAUUGUUUUGCAGCUUAAAUGUGCUUGUGAAGAAGAACGAGACAAUAACGUGCCUAUGUCACCUUGUAGGGCAUUUUCGAAUGGACCAUUACCGAAAUCACUCGAGAAACUAAUGUAGCAGCUUCAUCUUCAAGAAUUGUGACGCCAGAAAAACAAGAAACAGGAAGACAAAGAUUGGUGAAUUAGAUGAUUUUGAUAAAUGCAUUAAAAGACGUAAAAUACAUUUGUUUUAUAUCGUGAGGAGGGUAAUCCCUACAAUGAACAAAUUUUGGUUGGAAUUAAAAGCUGAUAUUGAUCUUAAAUAUGGCAGAACAUCUUUAAGAAGCAUCCUAAAGACUAUGAGCUACAGUUUUAACAAGUGUCAAGUCUAGUGUGACUUCUGAUGAAAAUAUCCGAAUCAAAGGCAUUGACUUACUGCAUGUUUUUUUCCUACCUAAGCUGGUUGCCUGGAGCGGCUAUUCCAGCGUAACCGUAACUAGUAGGUGAGCUCACGGGGCUCAAACCUGACGACGAUGCUAACACGAACCCUAGCAAGAGCCGUGCUUCGCAGAAUCUACCACCGGAUCGGAAACGCGACCCAAUGAGAAGAUCCGGCGAGAAACUCAGUGGGCUGUGUCUGAGAGUUAACUUACUCGUCGAGCCCUUCGUCGCAAGCGACAGGUUCGACGAAAACGGUGACCGGUGCUUGAAGUACCUAGAAGCACCGUUAGUGGAUCGGGAGGAUCCAAGAUGACGUGUUUUGGGCGACGUCGACUGCUUUCCAUUCUGUCCGCACGAUCGGGAAUGUAGUUACCGGCGGCCACGAUGAGAGGGUUUUCGUGUCGUGCCGCUUUAUCGAAGUGGCGCAUCGACGCUGACUGCAUAUCGAGUGGUGGACUCUAAGUCCAGGUCGUCAUGGAGGUCGACGUUCCUGACGAACCACGGGGCUCCGACGGCUAUCCUGCAAAAAACGGGAUUGAAUAACUUGGAAGAAUUUUAAGCGAGUGCGGGCCGCGUGAGCGAACACUGUCAUGACGGGACGUAUGCAAGUUUUGUAGAGUGUCACCUUAUUUCUAAGGGACAUUUUAUUUCGCCUGCAUAUCAUCGGGUAGUUACUGCAUGAGCAUUCAAAUGUCAACUUUAAAAAUAUUGCAGGCUAUUAAAUAAACGACUCACAAGGUU